AGCGAACGCUGGCGGCAUGCCUUACACAUGCAAGUCGAACGGUAACGGGUCCUUCGGGAUGCCGACGAGUGGCGAACGGGUGAGUAAUAUAUCGGAACGUGCCCAGUAGUGGGGGAUAACUGCUCGAAAGAGCAGCUAAUACCGCAUACGACCUGAGGGUGAAAGGGGGGGAUCGCAAGACCUCUCGCUAUUGGAGCGGCCGAUAUCAGAUUAGCUAGUUGGUGGGGUAAAGGCCUACCAAGGCAACGAUCUGUAGUUGGUCUGAGAGGACGACCAGCCACACUGGGACUGAGACACGGCCCAGACUCCUACGGGAGGCAGCAGUGGGGAAUUUUGGACAAUGGGCGCAAGCCUGAUCCAGCAAUGCCGCGUGCAGGAAGAAGGCCUUCGGGUUGUAAACUGCUUUUGUCAGGGAAGAAAUCUUCUGGGCUAAUACCCCGGGAGGAUGACGGUACCUGAAGAAUAAGCACCGGCUAACUACGUGCCAGCCGCCGCGGUAA
rnacentral:rRNA from 1 species